GCCCAACUCUGUGCUCGUAUACUAAAAUAGCAACUAUAUACAGAUUAGCAUGGCCACUGCACAAGGGUGACACGCAAAUGAGGGAAACGGUCCAUAUUUGG
rnacentral:snRNA from 1 species